AACCCCACUCCUGGUAAACACAAGUUCACCCUCUCUACUAUGGCAGCAACAUUCAUUCAUGGCUAACUCCAUUAUUGUAACCUGAAACUUACACAAAAAAAAACACUGUAUUUAGGCUAAUCACAUAAAACUCACGUGCCAAUGUGCCAUCAUGUACUCAUUUACCAACACUCAGACAGGUGAAGCUCACUGAGGAAGCCUUCGGUUUGAACCUGAACAGAAAAAGCCAGUUGCAUUACAAAUUUCAAGCACUGAACCCCUCAGCCCCUGAUUGACUUUGUAGGAUUUUGACUAUGAAGCUGAUGUCAGGACAUCAGUGUUCGAUUGGGGCAGACAGGAGAUAGACACAGACAGGAGAUAGACACAGACAGGAGAUAGACACAGACGGGACAGGAGAUAGACACAGACAGGAGAUAGACACAGACAGGACAGGAGAUAGACACAGACAGGAGAUAGACACAGACAGGAGAUAGGCACAGACAGGAGAUAGACACAGAGAGGAGAUAGACACAGACAGGAGAAAGACACAGACAGGAGAUAGACACAGACAGGAGAUAGGCACAGACAGGACAGGAGAUAAACACAGACAGGAGAUAGACACAGACAGGACAUGAGAUAGGCACAGACAGGAGAUAGACACAGAGAGGAGAUAGACACAGACAGGAGAAAGACACAGACAGGAGAUAGGCACAGACAGGACAGGAGAUAAACACAGACAGGAGAUAGACACAGACAGGACAUGAGAUAGACACAGACAGGAGAAAGACACAGACAGGAGAUAGACACAGACAGGAGAUAGGCACAGACAGGAGAUAGGCACAGACAGGACAGGAGAUAGACACAGACAGGAUAUAGACACAGACAGGAGAUAGGCACAGACAGGAGAUAGACACAGACAGGACAGGAGAUAGACACAGACAGGAGAUAGACACAGACAGGACAUGAGAUAGACACAGACAGGAGAUAGACACAGACAGGACAUGAGAUAGACACAGACAGGACAGGAGAUAGACACAGACAGGAGAUAGACACAGACAGGACAGGAGAUAGACACAGACAGGAGAUAGACACAGACAGGAGAUAGGCACAGACAGGAGAUAGAACCAGACAGGAGAUAGACACAGACAGGAGAUAGACACAGACAGGAGAUAGACGUCAGGAUGGAAGCAGGUGUGUCUUCAGGAUGGAUGCAGGUGUGACAUCAGGAUGGAUUGCAAAGAGAAAGACAUGGGGGGGCUUACUCGCCCCCC
ensembl:lncRNA